AUGCUUGCUUCGACAGCACAGACACCAAAAUUGUACCGAUACAGAGAUGAGCAUGGCCCCUUUGCAAGGAUGACAUGCAAAUUUGUGAAGCAUUCCAUGAACAA
ensembl:snRNA U6 U6 spliceosomal RNA